UUUAGGAUUUUAAAUUUGGCAUUAUUAUUAAUUUAGGAAUUAGAUUUCCUUUCAAAUUAGGAAUUAGAUCUUACUUUCUACUUCGAUUUGUUUUAGGACUUUGGCUGUGGACUUGUGGUGCCUAUAAAAGGAAGCUUAGGACGUAUUUUUACUUACCGGAUUGAAGAACUUCAUAACUUGUUUAAGAAGAAAAAAAGAAAAGAAAAGAACAAGUAGAAAAGUGAAGAACAGGAACUUAGUAUCCAGAAAUCAGAAGCAUCAUGAAGUUAAGCAUAGAAGAAGCCAGCACAAUUCCUCUGGAUUCUUAUAAGGGAAUGAAGCAUUAUUUAGAGGAAUUACUUGAGAGAAAGAGUGUCAAGAGGGAGGAUGCACUAAAAUCAAUCAUCAAGGGCUUAACCUUUUACUCUAAC